GGGUGAAGGGAGCAGGAGGAGCAGGACCCCCGGUCAAUAGACAGGGUCCUCAGCCAAUGAGGUGUCCAGACCCAGAGAAGCUUCUGGCCCACGCUCGUGAUGGUCACAGCCAAGUCCAACCGGGCCUUCUUGGAGCAGCAGGACUGUGACGGGAGCCCUCCCCUUGGAGGAGGGACGCCGUCUAAGGACACUUACAGGGACUGAGAGCCCUCACCUGCUCCUUGCUGCAGGGCCAAGUGGACCCAAGGGCAACCUAACAGAGAGGAAAAAGGCCUAACAUAACAUCAAAGAGGCUAAAAGCCCGGGUGGAUUGCAUUUCAUCAGUACGGGAUCACUUCAGGCACACUGGGGGUUGGAGAGCAGUACCUAUGGAGCGGUAAAAGAAGAGAUAUGAAGGGUGAGAAGCGGUUUGUUGUUUCUGUUGCUUUCCCCAGUACAAUCAAAGGAAAGCAAAGUUUGGGACUUGGCAGCAUUGUGGUUGCCCCAGCUACUACCAUGCCAUUCUCUUACAAGCUGAGAGGGGGAAAAAUGUGUGUAUUUUCAAAACAUUCCUCUUUUCCUGCCUAUGAAGAAUAACAGAAUUAUAUUUUUUUUUUUCCUUUAAAUGAAAAUACCUCCAGUAGUGACUUCUGUGAUCCAUUUCUUUAAUUAGUCAUCAAUCAAGAGGUCCAUAUCCAAAUUUGAAGACAACUUGAAUGGAAGGACAGUUAGAAUAGUCCCCAGGAAACCAGAACCUGAAGGACCAUCUUGCCAAGAAGAGCCUCUGCUGUGGCUGAUGCAAGGAGGAAAGUCAAAGAAGGCAGGAGUCUGAGUGAAUGUAUUUGAAAAUGAAAAGGGGGAAAAAAAUAAAAAGAAAAAAGCAAGAGGUAUUGAUAGAAAACAGUUUUCAGUAUUCACCAGCUCUCCUCUCCUCAUCACUUCAGUCCAGGGCUUUGGAAUAGACCCAGCGGAGGGCAGCCUCCUAUCCACGUUUCUGACAGACGGGGCAUGAUGCUCACCUUUCCUGCCAUCUAGUUUGUGUUUUGACAAUUCAGUAUGGAAACUCUAGCAAAUGUAUGCAGAGAGCGAAGAUCCCCAG